AUGUUUUAGAAUUUUAUGCUUUGUUCAUCACUAUGCAUAAAGAAAUUGCGAGAAUGAUAAAGGGCGAGACUCGGAUGUUUGAAAAAAGUAAAUUUUAGUGGAUGAAAUGUGGAAAAUAGGGCUAAAAGCAAAGCAGGUGAUACACCGUAUUUAAGGAUUUACUUUAAUUUAUUAUUUGGGGACAAAGAUGGAGAUUUGAUUGUUGGGGUGACCA
rnacentral:lncRNA from 1 species